AACGAACGCUGGCGGCAGGCUUAACACAUGCAAGUCGAGCGCCCCGCAAGGGGAGCGGCAGACGGGUGAGUAACACGUGGGAACCUUCCUCGUUGUACGGAACAACUCAGGGAAACUUGAGCUAAUACCGUAUACGUCCGAGAGGAGAAAGAUUUAUCGCAAUGAGACGGGCCCGCGUCGGAUUAGCUAGUUGGUAAGGUAACGGCUUACCAAGGCGACGAUCCGUAGCUGAUCUGAGAGGAUGAUCAGCCACACUGGGACUGAGGCACGGCCCAGACUCCUACGGGAGGCAGCAGUGGGGAAUAUUGGACAAUGGGUGCAAGCCUGAUCCAGCAAUGCCGCGUGAGUGAUGAAGGCCUUAGGGUUGUAAAGCUCUUUCGCACGCGACGAUGAUGACGGUAGCGUGAGAAGAAGCCCCGGCUAACUUCGUGCCAGCCGCCGCGGUAA
rnacentral:rRNA from 1 species